AUUUUUUUAUCAAAGAGAAGAAAAAAGAGAGAACAGAAGGAGAAAGAAGAUGGGGGAAGACGAAUGAUAACUCAAAGCCAUUCAUCAUUUGUCCCCAUCAGUCUGCAGGUGAUUCCCAUUAAAAAAACGAAUGGAAAGCAUGGCAUGAAAACCAGUGCUCUGCUGAAGAAAAGUUAAA